AAAUUGAAGAGUUUGAUCAUGGCUCAGAUUGAACGCUGGCGGCAGGCCUAACACAUGCAAGUCGAACGGUAACAGGAAGCAGCUUGCUGCUUCGCUGACGAGUGGCGGACGGGUGAGUAAUGUCUGGGAAACUGCCUGAUGGAGGGGGAUAACUACUGGAAACGGUGGCUAAUACCGCAUAACGUCGCAAGACCAAAGAGGGGGACCUUCGGGCCUCUUGCCAUCAGAUGUGCCCAGAUGGGAUUAGCUUGUUGGUGAGGUAACGGCUCACCAAGGCGACGAUCCCUAGCUGGUCUGAGAGGAUGACCAGCCACACUGGAACUGAGACACGGUCCAGACUCCUACGGGAGGCAGCAGUGGGGAAUAUUGCACAAUGGGCGCAAGCCUGAUGCAGCCAUGCCGCGUGUAUGAAGAAGGCCUUCGGGUUGUAAAGUACUUUCAGCGGGGAGGAAGGUGUUGCGGUUAAUAACCGCAGCAAUUGACGUUACCCGCAGAAGAAGCACCGGCUAACUCCGUGCCAGCAGCCGCGGUAAUACGGAGGGUGCAAGCGUUAAUCGGAAUUACUGGGCGUAAAGCGCACGCAGGCGGUCUGUCAAGUCGGAUGUGAAAUCCCCGGGCUCAACCUGGGAACUGCAUUCGAAACUGGCAGGCUUGAGUCUUGUAGAGGGGGGUAGAAUUCCAGGUGUAGCGGUGAAAUGCGUAGAGAUCUGGAGGAAUACCGGUGGCGAAGGCGGCCCCCUGGACAAAGACU
rnacentral:rRNA from 1 species